rnacentral:rRNA from 1 species
AUGAACGCUGGCGGCGUGCCUAAUACAUGCCGGUCGAGCGCACGGACGAGAAGCUUGCUUCUCUGAUGUUAGCGGCGGACAGGUGAGUAACACGUGGAUAACCUACCUAUAAGACUGGGAUAACUUCGGGAAACCGGAGCUAAUACCGGAUAAUAUUUUGAACCGCAUGGUUCAAAAGUAAAAGACGGUCUUGCUGUCACUUAUAGAUGGAUCCGCGCUGCAUUAGCUAGUUGGUAAGGUAACGGCUUACCAAGGCAACGAUGCAUAGCCGACCUGAGAGGGUGAUCGGCCACACUGGAACUGAGACACGGUCCAGACUCCUACGGGAGGCAGCAGUAGGGAAUCUUCCGCAAUGGGCGAAAGCCUGACGGAGCAACGCCGCGUGAGUGAUGAAGGUCUUCGGAUCGUAAAACUCUGUUAUUAGGGAAGAACAUAUGUGUAAGUAACUGUGCACAUCUUGACGGUACCUAAUCAGAAAGCCACGGCUAACUACGUG